rnacentral:lncRNA from 1 species
AAAAAAACAGAAGGAUUCUCUGAAAGGGGGCCGAGAGCAAACCCUCGGAGCUUUGUCGAGCCUCCGUCAUCGGGUUCCCAUGCGCUCACGCGCCACCGCUGACUUCGCCGAGUACGGCGGUCAGAAUACGAAGCGUUUCGCCUUUUCUUCAGCAAAAAAAGGUAAUCUCUUUUAUUUAUUUUUAUAGUAUUUUGCAUGCAUGAAACGUUGAUAUCUAAGAAAAGAAAAAGGAUCACCUUUUUUUUUUCUGACAAAGUGAAGAAAUCUGUAAUAUUCUCUUGUGCUCUUUUUAUUUCUUUUUCGUGUGUCUUUACAGAUUACAAAGAAGCGCUUUUAUAGCCCUGUGUAAAUCAUUACAAUUUGGGAAAGAAAUCUUUGAUUUCUUUCCAUAUUUUGCUUCUCUUUUUUGCUGCGGUUCUUUUCAUUUUGCAGAUAUCAAUGAGGGUCUGGUAGUAAACGGGAACUGACAACGGCACACCGGCGUUGAUUCAGGCGUCAAUCCUGGCGUGAUACGGAACCUGGAAUCACGGCAUUGAUGGUGGGUCACUGCGAGACGACGGACGCGUCUGUUGGGGUGCUUGUGGCGCAUAGGGUUUCUGAAACCCUAGGCCUUUCUGUAACACCCCUUACCCGAGACCGUCGCCGGAAUCGAG